ACUCCUACGGGAGGCAGCAGUGGGGAAUAUUGCACAAUGGGCGCAAGCCUGAUGCAGCAACGCCGCGUGAGUGAUGAAGGCCUUCGGGUCGUAAAGCUCUGUCCUCAAGGAAGAAUAAAUGACGGUACUUGAGGAGGAAGCCCGGGCUAACUACGUGCCAGCAGCCGCGGUAAUACGUAGGGGGCAAGCGUUAUCCGGAAUCACUGGGGCGUAAAGGGGUGCGUAGGCGGUUUUUCAAGUCAGAAGUGAAAGGCUAUGGCUCAACCAUAGUAAGCUUUUGAAACUGUUAAACUUGAGUGCAGGAGAGGAAAGUGGAAUUCCUAGUGUAGAGGUGAAAUUCGUAGAUAUUAGGAGGAACACCAGUGGCGAAGGCGACUUUCUGGACUGUAACUGACGCUGAGGCACGAAAGCGUGGGGAGCGAACAGGAUUAGAUACCCUGG
rnacentral:rRNA from 1 species